rnacentral:lncRNA from 1 species
GUGAAAUGUGCAAGAAAAUGAAAAGUACAAAGAAAAGAUUAAUCAAAUGAUACAUCGCUUGACAACACCUAUUGUACAAGGGAUUGCAGCCAUCUUUUAUGUAUAAUACAUGGAUGUGGUUUGCUUUGAUCUUCUUGAUCACGUAAGGGGGAGAUUGUUGAAAAAUAUCCUUAAAGGAUUUUGAAACUAGAAAAACUUAAUUCAAGUAUUCAAUGAGUUCCUUUUUGUGUGCAAAGACUCAUAUUGAAGCCAUGGACUCAAUGUAAGAUACUAUAUUUCAAUUAGUUGGAUAUUUAGGUGCUUUCAGUUUCGUUUUUCUGAUAACUGUUGAGAGUAUAAACUAUACUUCAACAGAUAAGCGCCUCCGUUUUACCAUGCAGCUAGAAUAUUUUUAAUUCUUAUUUAUAAUACAAUGACUUCGCUUUAAUGAUG